rnacentral:lncRNA from 1 species
GAUAAAGAGCAAUAUACAACGUUCUAGAUAUAGAACUAUAUAGAACGUUUAAGAUAUAGAAAAUUAAAUAUAGGACGUUUUGAUAUAGAACGUUCUAGAAUGAGACAUAGUUAUAGUAAAAAAAAACAUAGGCGAGAAGAUAGCGGGAAAGGAGAGUGGGGUGUGGGGUGGGGGGAAUCACAAAUCAAAGGGCAGAUUUACUUUUUUUUUUAUCAACAUAGUACAGUUUGUCAACUAUUAGAAAUUAAUAUAUAAUCCACGACCAAUGCUCAUACCAGGGGUGGUGUUCUCGAAGCUAUCUUAGGAUUAGGACGUGUCCUAAGACCAUCUUAUGACAAGUCUUUGUCCUAAGUCGUGUUCUCGAAGCUGUCUUAACUUAGGAUAUAUCGCAUUUUUCGUCCUAACUUUAGGACACCUAAUUAGGUGUCUUAAGAUCAUCAUAUCUUCAUCCUAACUUUGUGCAUUCUUUUUU